GUGUCAGCAGCCGCGGUAAUACGUAGGGGGCUAGCGUUGUCCGGAAUCAUUGGGCGUAAAGAGCGCGUAGGCGGCCAGAUAAGUCCGGUGUGAAAGUCAAAGGCUCAACCUUUGAAUGCCGCUGGAAACUGUCUGGCUAGAGUCCGGGAGGGGCGAGUGGAAUUCCUGGUGUAGCGGUGAAAUGCGCAGAUAUCAGGAGGAACACCAAUGGCGAAGGCAGCUCGCUGGAACGGUACUGACGCUGAGGCGCGAAAGCGUGGGGAGCAAACAGGAUUAGAAACCCUUGUAGUCC
rnacentral:rRNA from 1 species